rnacentral:lncRNA from 1 species
UUCCAUAGAAAGUACCAGUUUUAAAAGACUAUCUGCAUUUUUUUUUUCCCCACAGAGUUCAAGAAUGAGCCUGGAUAAACCUGGCAGCUUGAAGUCUGAGGAAAAAGAUUGGUUUCUGCAUGAGCUUCACUGACAUGGAGGCUUGUAAGGGUUUUCAGACUCUGGAACAGAGCUCUGCCAAUAACCUGCACAGUGCACUUGUUAAUUCAGUCAUGGAUUCCAAGCAGUAUUCAGCAUUAGGUGCAUACUGAAGAUG